UACGAAGGGGGCUAGCGUUGCUCGGAAUCACUGGGCGUAAAGCGCACGUAGGCGGGCUCUUAAGUCGGUGGUGAAAUCCUGGAGCUCAACUCCAGAACUGCCUCCGAUACUGAGAGUCUUCGAGUCCGGGAGAGGUGAGUGGAACUGCGAGUGUAGAGGUGAAAUUCGUAGAUAUUCGCAAGAACACCAGUGGCGAAGGCGGCUCACUGGUCCGGUACUGACGCUGAGGUGCGAAAGCGUGGGGAGCAAACAGG
rnacentral:rRNA from 1 species